GUCAGAAUAGAGAGGCGCCCAUUUCAUUACUUUACUCACAUAAUUUUCAUUAAUUUCUGUCACACAUUUUUCAUAUAAAUGUUUGUACAGGGCACCACCUGAAAGAUAUAUGAACAUGGGUCUUCCUUCUGGCUCGGGUGUAGGGUAGCUAUCAUUGCUUCAAGCCAUGCCAAUGUUUUCUGCUUAUUGCUUAGGAACGCUGCCCUGUGCAGGAGUAUCAGCCCACUGCUCUGGCCUGCAGAAGAGCUGCUCCCAACUUUGAACUAGCCAGCCUCAUUCGCUGUAGGACCUGCAGAAGUAAGGACUUCUGAUUGCUGCUCUGUAGAGGAAUUGAAAGAGGUCUGCUGGAGCUCUGCGAUAAUGCUGAGACUUUUGUAAUUACUCAGUUUCUGUAAUUCUUGAAACUGGACCUUAUUAUGUUCUCAGAACAGAAUUAUUCUUGGAACCCUGAGUCUCAGCACUAGAGAAGCUGGGUGAUGGUAUAACUGCUACAGGGAAUUAAGUUACCGGAAGCUGAGCUGGAAUUAAAGUCUUCAUUAAUUUUCAAGUAAUUUUUCUAAAUAAAUUUUUUCAUAUAGAUUGGAAAA